rnacentral:rRNA from 1 species
GAUGAACGCUGGCGGCGCGCCUAAUACAUGCAAGUCGAGCGAACAGACGAGGAGCUUGCUCCUCUGACGUUAGCGGCGGACGGGUGAGUAACACGUGGAUAACCUACCUAUAAGACUGGGAUAACUUCGGGAAACCGGAGCUAAUACCGGAUAAUAUAUUGAACCGCAUGGUUCAAUAGUGAAAGACGGUUUUGCUGUCACUUAUAGAUGGAUCCGCGCCGCAUUAGCUAGUUGGUAAGGUAACGGCUUACCAAGGCAACGAUGCGUAGCCGACCUGAGAGGGUGAUCGGCCACACUGGAGCGGGGACACGGUCCAGACUCCUACGGGAGGCAGCAGUAGGGAAUCUUCCGCAAUGGGCGAAAGCCUGACGGAGCAACGCCGCGUGAGUGAUGAAGGUCUUCGGAUCGUAAAACUCUGUUAUUAGGGAAGAACAAAUGUGUAAGUAACUAUGCACGUCUUGACGGUACCUAAUCAGAAAGCCACGGCUAACUACGUG